rnacentral:rRNA from 1 species
AGACAGGUGGUGCAUGGUUGUCGUCAGCUCGUGUCGUGAGAUGUUGGGUUAAGUCCCGCAACGAGCGCAACCCUUGUCCAUAGUAGCCAGCAGUAAGAUGGGCACUCUAUGGAGACUGCCAGGGAUAACCUGGAGGAAGGUGGGGAUGACGUCAAAUCAUCAUGCCCCUUAUGAUCUGGGCCACACACGUGCUACAAUGUCGUAAACAAAGGGACGCAACCCCGCGAGGGUGAGCAAAUCCCAAAAAUAACGACCCAGUUCGGACUGCAGGCUGCAACCCGCCUGCACGAAGCUGGAAUCGCUAGUAAUCGCAGAUCAGAAUGCUGCGGUGAAUACGUUCCCGGGUCUUGUACACACCGCCCGUCACACCAUGGGAGUCGGAAAUGCCCGAAGUCAGUGACCCAACCGUAAGGAGGGAGCUGCCGAAGGCAGGUCA